rnacentral:misc_RNA from 1 species
AAAUUUUAAAAUAUCAAUUAAAUUAAAUUUAAAUCGCCAAAAAUAAUGUACUAAAAAGAAAGAGAGCUCAACUCAGAUUCAAACACAUUAUUAAAAAAGGCCAUCAGCCCAACUCAUGUGCUGAGGCUGAAAGUUGCGAAGGUUCCUAAAAGAUAAACAGCACAGAGCCCAACCCACCAUUGAAUUUUAACUUCAUACACAUUUUGCAUUUACUGAGAUUCUAGUACAGCAACACCUCUCAAGCUGACAAAACACACAAACGGAAAGCCAAAACGUGCGCAGGCAGUGGGCAGCCUAAGGGCACUUGGUCUUGUUGCCAUGGGUGGUCAUCUCUGUAUAGCAUUUCCCACAUACUUCUCUGUUCCCUGAGGUCCCUGGUGGCACACACUUACACCUCACACAGCACGUGCCACAUGCUCUAUUGCACAAAUUAGGUCUAGAGUGGAGGCUGCACCUCUGCUUGCAUAGCCCUCCACAAUCCAUUUCUUGCAUGAGCCUCCUGUUUCCACCUCUAACACCAAUCUGGGUAAUAUGAGCAAUUUCUUCUUCUAUCUUGAGAUCAGAUGAAACCUCUGCAAGGCAGAAGAGCAGAACGGCCGAUACAAGAAGCAAACGGACUGCCAUGGCUGCUUAGUAGAGAAAGCGAAGCGAAGAAGCAAUUUAGUGUAUAGUGCGGUGUGGCCGUGUGGGUAUCGCAGUGCGUACUCUUUAUAGAGGGGGCAUAUUGACAUCGCUGGCUGCUGGCUUGACAAAACUAGUCGUUUAUUCUGCUAAUAAUUACAAUAGGACUUGAG